rnacentral:misc_RNA from 1 species
AAUACCCUCAAGCAUAGCUUGGUAUUGGGCUUCAUCUGUUUAGAUGGGCCUAAAAAUUAGUGGCGAUGCCCUUCUGGUUUUCAAGCGUAGUAAUAUUUUUUUUCUUGUCUUGAAUAAAGUAGAGUAUCUGCCAAAAAACCUCCAAACUUUUUAAG